AUGUUGUUAAUCACUUUCCUCCUCUUGCUCCAGUUGUACAGUUCGGGUCCCUGGCGGGAGUUGAGACAGAAACUUUGGGCUCCUCUGGCCCUCCUGAAACUUCUAAGUGAAGCCACAGAAAAUUCCAAAAGUUGCAUAACUGCCACUGACUUCUGUGGUCUGAGUCCCACUUUUGGCCAACAUGUGAUUUCUUUGAAGACAUCCGGAAGGCCGGCACAGGACAGAGUCACUCCUGGAAGCACGGACCCACUCUGCUGUGUACCUAUGUGCCUGUGACCGGGCAUCUUUUGCCUCUAAUGAGAUUUUGCAGUGACAGGAUUGGAACAGAUUGCUGGCAUUAUGGCAGCCAGGAUAUUGUCAGGAGGAACUUGGCAGUGCUCAUAGGUGUUAUGAUGCUGGCUCUUUGCUCAAGGGCAAGAAUAUCAAAAGGAAAAUUAGAGAUGAAACAGAGUGAGAGGUAAUGUCAGAAAAGUUCAGAAGAUGAAACCAGGAGUGGUAAAUCUGUAGGAAAUUAUUUGAGAUUUACACACUUUUGAGUCCUUGGUGCCUGAAAACAUAGCCAAGAAUUGCUUCAGUGAUAUUCCUUCAUAAAUCUGCAUAAUAAUCUCUCGACGGGGCUUUGGUGAAAUUACAAGUAUUCAUUUACUAAAUUGGGUUCAGUGUCUGUAUCAUGAACGCCAUAUGAAUAUUCAGUGCAGUGAAUGCUUCCCAAACUAUGUUGAAGUUAACACAUAAGCUGAAUAUAACUCAAGUAGAACUGAAAAUUGCGAGCUUAUUUUAACCUAACAGAGGCCCUAGUGUCUUGAAGUAUUGGACCGACCCCUACCCCAGUAUGUCAACUAAUACUCAUUCUAAUAAAGCCAAAUGUGAAGCUUUUUCA
rnacentral:lncRNA from 1 species